rnacentral:rRNA from 1 species
AGCAAUCUGCCUUGGAGUGGGGAAUAACGGCUGGAAACAGCCGCUAAUACCGCAUGACGCGUCUGGGAGGCAUCUCUCUGGACGCCAAAGAUUUAUCGCUCUGAGAUGAGCUCGCGUCUGAUUAGCUGGUUGGCGGGGUAACGGCCCACCAAGGCGACGAUCAGUAGCCGGACUGAGAGGUUGGCCGGCCACAUUGGGACUGAGACACGGCCCAGACUCCUACGGAAGGCAGCAG